UACGUAGGGUGCGAGCGUUGUCCGGAAUUAUUGGGCGUAAAGAGCUCGUAGGCGGUUUGUCGCGUCUGCUGUGAAAACCUAAGGCUCAACCUUGGGCUUGCAGUGGGUACGGGCAGACUAGAGUGCGGUAGGGGUGACUGGAAUUCCUGGUGUAGCGGUGGAAUGCGCAGAUAUCAGGAGGAACACCGAUGGCGAAGGCAGGUCUCUGGGCCGAUACUGACGCUGAGGAGCGAAAGCGUGGGGAGCGAACAGG
rnacentral:rRNA from 1 species